rnacentral:tRNA from 1 species
GCCGUUGUGGCGGAAUGGUAGACGCCGCAGACUUAAAAUCUGCUGAUCGUAAGAUCGUGGGGGUUCGAGUCCCCCCGACGGCA